CUGAGGAGCGAAAGCGUGGGGAGCGAACAGGAUUAGAUACCCUGGUAGUCCACGCCGUAAACGUUGGGCGCUAGGUGUGGGGCUCUUUCCACGAGUUCCGUGCCGCAGCUAACGCAUUAAGCGCCCCGCCUGGGGAGUACGGCCGCAAGGCUAAAACUCAAAGGAAUUGACGGGGGCCCGCACAAGCGGCGGAGCAUGCGGAUUAAUUCGAUGCAACGCGAAGAACCUUACCAAGGCUUGACAUGGGCAGAAAUCCGGCAGAGAUGUCGGGUCCGCAAGGGCUGCUCACAGGUGGUGCAUGGUUGUCGUCAGCUCGUGUCGUGAGAUGUUGGGUUAAGUCCCGCAACGAGCGCAACCCUCGUUCUAUGUUGCCAGCACGUCAUGGUGGGGACUCAUAGAAGACUGCCGGGGUCAACUCGGAGGAAGGUGGGGAUGAGGUCAAAUCAUCAUGCCCCUUAUGUCUUGGGCUUCACGCAUGCUACAAUGGCCAGUACAAAGGGCUGCGAGACCGUAAGGUGGAGCGAAUCCCAAAAAGCUGGUCUCAGUUCGG
rnacentral:rRNA from 1 species